AAUAAUUCCUCUGUUUAGUCUCUGAAUCUUCAGAUGAAAAGUUGGGGCCCUGAGGAGGUUAGGAGUAGAUCUUUCUUGAUGGCUUGCCUAGGUUUAUGAUGGAAUUUGUUGUGUUAAAUUCUGUAAACUAAGAAAACGAACAGAUCUUCAACAAAGUAGUCAUUUGAAGACCCAAAAUCUAGAGGAUGCGGAACAGAUGACUCCACUUCAGCAGUUUUAGUAUCUGAGGAAGACCGAAUGCGCUGCACUUGUAUUAGAAGCUGGUCACUAAAUUUCUAUGGCCUGUGUAAUGUAUUAACUAGAAACUCAACUUACCAAAUGUAUUUGGUAAAGAAAUACAUAAUAAAGAAAUCCUCCUUGUUGGAGUAUUAUUAUGAAUUCUUAAAUCAAGUCAUUUUGGGAUUGAGGCAGAUUGUAUAACUAUGCCUAUUGAGCAAUAAAACUCUCAAUAAACUCUGCAUGUGAUAUAUGUGAGUAGUUACUAGGGCUUUGAAAAGUGUUUCUUCAAAAGGUUCAAGAGUUAAGGUGGACUGGUGGAUGGAAAGAAUGGGUUAUGAGUGGUCAUAUGAUAUGCUCUUGGGCUUUUUGGACUAUUGAGAGUCAUAGCUCCCUUUUGUUCAGAGAUUUUUAUCUUUCUUACUUCAGAUAGAGUGAAAACCUCUCUUUAGACUGACAUCAACCUCUUUAAUUUGUCUGCAAAUAAAAAAGCAAAGAUAUUUAUGAGUAGAAGACAAUGAAGAACAUUGACAAUGUCUGAGAUUAGCUAAUUUUCAAAGUUACUGUUCAGCGAGUGCUUGCUUAUUCUUUAUCAGAAGAUAUGCUAGACAUUUUAUAUCUAUUAACUUCUUUAAUUCUUAUAACAACUUAGGAAGUAGAUAGUAUGUUUAGUCCUUAUUUUAUAGAAGACAAAACUGAAGCACAAAAACAUUCCCAAGGUCAUAAAUUUAUUAAGAAGGAAGAUCAGAGACAGGUUGCAUUCAUGGACAAUGGCAUACUUUUCUAAUCUUUCCCCAGGGCUAUGUUAGGUCUCCUACCCUUUGUCAUAAUAUAGUCCAAAGGAUCUGGACUGUCUGGACAUUCCACAGAACAUCUUAACUAGGUCUUAUUGAUCACUAUAUUGAUGAUAUCUUGGUAAUUGAACCAAAUGAGCAAGAAAAGACAAGUACAUUGGAAGGCUUGGUAGGCAGAAGGGAGGAGAUGAACCCUAUGGAAGAUUUAAGCACCUAUAACAUUAGUAAAGGUAUUUGGGUCUGGGUCAAACUGUGACAUCCCCUCCAAAGUAAAGUACAGAUCCUUUACAUCUUCUCUACCCCUAAGAAAGAAGCACAAUGCUUUGCAAACCCUUUGAUCACUUUAGGCUUUUUGUGGCAAGGAGGCAAUAGGCAAGAAUGGAGUCAUCACACUGGCAGAGGUAAAUGACCCCAAUCAUCAGGGAGAGGUAGGGCUGCUGCUAGACAACGUGAGCCUGGAAUAAUAUGUUUGGGAUUAGGUGAUGCAUUUGGGCAUCUCUUGGUGCUCGCAUGCCCCUCAGCCCUAGGCUGAGAUCAUGGUAACUAGGGACUCAGACUCACAGAGAUGAAGGUCUGGGUCAUUCUUCCAGCUAAUCUGCCUAGUCCAUUCUCCUAUUAUCUCAAUGGAAAUGGCCAGGGAACGUGGAGGACAAAUGUGAUCUCAUUCUGAAUUUUAGAGGCAAGAGGAGAGAAUUUUUUUCCUUGUGUUCACUCUUUGGAAAGCAGAGAAUUGUCUGUCAUUAGAAUUAGCGUGAGUUAGAGCUACCAGCCACAGAUAAGAGGAAUCUAGAGAGGGCAAUGGAGAGGGGGUUGCUGAUUAACAGUUACAGCCUCAAGAAUUGUAACAGUGGGGGCUGUAGUUCAUUCUAUUAACACUUCUCUUGUAAGUUUUCCAAGAAAACAAGACCAAUCAGAACAUGGUGUAAACUGUUUCCAGAUGGGGUGAAUUUACUAUGAGAAGGGAGAAAACUGAGCAGUGCAAGGGGUAGACUGUAGUGAAUUCUGGAGUUCUUCAGCCAGAUACCCAAGCUGAUGGUUUGCAGCUCUGUCCCUCACUGAGAAGUCCACUUAGCCCCAGGGAACAACCUAGUCCUAGCAGUUGUACAGAAGAUUCAGUUUAUUUCUGAUUCACAACAUUGGAGCCUUAGCUGGGAAGACUUGAAGACUUGGGGUGAUUCUGUGGCUAGGGUUUGGGAACAUUGGGAGACAUCUACUCUCACAUGUGUGGAAGGUGAUGCUGGUUGUUGGCUGAGACCUUCAUUGGAUUGUCAACCUAUACAGAGAGGCCUAUACUGUGGCCUCUCUAUAUGGUCUCUCUUAUUGGUCUAGUUUGGACUUCACAGCAUGGUAAGUGGGUUUCAAGAGCUACUAUCCUAAGAGAAUGAUGCAGAAGUGCGUAGCAUUUUAUGGUCUAGUUUUAGAAGUCACAUACCAUCAAUUCUGCUGUACUCUGUGUCAAGGCAAUCACAAAAGUCCACUCUGCUUCAAGGGGAGGAGAUAGAGACCCCAACAGUUGAUAGGAGUAAUGUCAAUGUCACAUUGUAAGAAGACCAUGGGGGAUGUGAGAUGUUGCUGUAACUAUCUUUGGAAAAUACCAUCUACCACAUCAAGGAAGAGGAGAUUAACUGCUUCUCUUGCCCCUGCAUUCUCCCUUUUCCAGCACGUCACUGAUGCAUUAAUUUUCUUGAAGCAAUAUCUUGAACUUUGUAGUUCCUUGACAAAAAUAAAAAACAAACCAAAAAAACAGAACAUAAAACUAUCAAAAUCUCCCUGCUGCUUAUAGAAUGAAGUCCAAAUUCAUUAAGUUGGCAUUCAAGAGCCUCCAAAAUUCAGGCAUAAUCCUUUUUUACCCCUUACUUCUUGUUAUUUUCAGAUAUGUACUGUAGCUUAUGACCUAUUUACGUAAUUUAGCAUUGCCAGGUUGUGUCCUGAGCUUUUCACUUUUGUACAUUUAUACAUGCUUUUUCCUCAUCUCAGAAUUCCACCAUAGAGAUACCUUCAAUAUUUGCCUAGUAAAAUCCUACUCAUUUUUUAAUGCCUUUCCUUCGUGCUCAAACCAGAAGUGAUUACUGCUUUCUUCUUUCAAGAUACUACAGCACUGAAUAAGUACCAAUCAUGUGUCAUUUAUCACACUGUGCUAAACUACAUGUUAUUUUGGGGAGAACAAUGCUUAAUCAUGAUUUGGUUUAUCAGUUAAUGCUAUUCCCAAUGAAAGAAAUGUCCUCCUUCAGCAAAAUUUAGAGGAGAGCCCAUACCUUUCUUUAACCUUAUUGCUUCUGUGAACUAGUUAUUUAUCACAAUAUAGCUACAUCUAAAAAACCUGAGUACUGUGUGUUAUCUUAUUUCAUCUGGAUUUCAAAAUAGUCAAAGGGUAAACUCAUCUCUUACUGGGUUUCCAGGGCACCCAGAGUGUUAAUAUGGAGACAUACAAGCUAUUUGAUAAUGUUAAUGAGCUACAAAGUGGCUGUUAUGGAGUAAAGUCAGUUGGAAUAAGUGACACAGAUUAAUUUACAGAGAAGAAUUUUCAAAUGUGUUAUAUGUAUUUAUGUAUUCAAAUGUAUUAUGCAUACAUAUGUAUAUAAACAUUUUUUUCAAAUUUAUAAAGUUUAUUGAGGAACAUGAAUUUAAAUAGUUUACUUUAAGAUUUUUACAGCUUUAAUUUUGCUAAUACACUUUGUGACUCUCUAAGAAGAGUCUGUAUUAAGGCAGCAUUUUCUAAAUUUGUGUAUUGCACCCCUGUGAGAUUAUGGGCCCAGAAUUCCCUUCAAGAAUUACUUGCAAGAACAGAUUAG